rnacentral:misc_RNA from 1 species
GAUGAAGAACGCAGCGAAAUGCGAUAACUAAUGUGAAUUGCAGAAUUCAGUGAAUCAUCGAGUCUUUGAACGCACAUUGCGCCCCCUGGUAUUCCGGGGGGCAUGCCUGUCCGAGCGUCAUUGCUGCCCUCAAGCACGGCUUGUGUGUUGGGCUCCGUCCCCCCGGGGACGGGCCCGAAAGGCAGCGGCGGCACCGAGUCCGGUCCUCGAGCGUAUGGGGCUUUGUCACCCGCUCUGUAGGCCCGGCCGGCGCCAGCCGACAACCCAUCAUCCUUUUCAGGUUGACCUCGGAUCAGGUAGGGAUACCCGCUGAACUUAAGCAUAUCAAUAAAGCGGAGGA